rnacentral:tRNA from 1 species
AUCUUUCUAGUAUUAACUAGUACAGUUGACUUCCAAUCAACCAGCUCUGGUAGAACCCGGAGAAAGAUA